UCUCUCCAUCCUCAGCUGUCUCUCUCCAUCCUCGGCAGUCUUUCUCCAUCCUCAGCCAUCUCGCUCCAUCCUCAGCUGUCUCUCUCCAUCCUCGGCAGUCUUUCUCCAUCCUCAGCCAUCUCGCUCCAUCCUCGGCCGUCUCUCUCCAUCCUCGGCCGUCUCUCUCCAUCCUCGGCCGUCUUUCUCCAUCCUCAGCCAUCUCGCUCCAUCCUCGGCCGUCUCUCUCCAUCCUCGGCCGUCUCUCUCCAUCCUCGGCCGUCUCGCUCCAUCCUCGGCCGUCUCUCUCCAUCCUCGGCCGUCUUUCUCCAUCCUCAGCCAUCUCGCUCCAUCCUCGGCCGUCUCGCGGGCCAGGCCCGUGGUGGCACGUCCCACCCAGCACUCCCUGGGGCACCUCAGCAGGACACAGGAGCCCAGGAAGAACAUGUGUGGGCUCCGGGACCCCUGCCAGGGCCCCAGGGGGUAGUAAUGGGCUGAGCGGCCGGGAGGCCCAGGACACACUGCGCCCUGCCCGCCUCCCGGAGCAGAGAGACCCAGGCAGUUCGGGGCUCACAGGCCUCAGGCUCGGAGCUGGACGGAUCUGGCUGAAACCACGUGCCCCAGGGCCCCACGGAGGGGAGGGCGCCUCCUGGAAAUAGCACCUGGCAGGCCAGGCGGGAUCCCCAGGGGCUGGGAGCUGCGCCCAGGCCUGAGGCUCCCUUUGGCAUAGACUCCACUUCUCUCCAGGGACGAGGAGCCGCGUUGUCCGUCUGGACGGACCAUGGGGUUUUCACCAGAUGAAGGACUAUAACUGUGGGUUGUUUCCAGUUUGGGGCGAUGACCAAUGAGGCUGCUCUCACUUUGUCCUGGAUGGAGUGUGGACGUAGGUGGCACUUAAUUUGGGCGAAGACCAAGGAGCAGAACGGGCGGGUCACACGCAAGUAUUUAACUUAAGAAACUGGCCGCAUGAGAAGCCCAGCGGCUUGGCGUCCUUGCCAGCACUGGGCUGUGUCCGCUUUCCUUAGCCGUUUGUGUCUGGAUCGGCGAGCCCGGUCUUCAGCUGGCGGUUAGGGUGGCGUGUUCGGUGCUGGUGCUGCCAUAACAGCGGGCGGGCUGGGGCGUGGCCAGUGGAGCUGUAUCUCCUCCCAGGCCAGGAGGCUGGGUCUGCGAUCCAGGCGUCUGCAGGGCUGACUUCUCUGAGGCCAGCUGCCUGGGGAGGACGGCCGCCCUGUCCGUGUCCGCACACGCGCUCUCCUCUCUCUGCUCUCAUUUCCGAGUCCCCCCGUGUCCAGACGUCCUCUUCUCACAGGGACACCAGUCCUUGGACCAGGGCCCCCCUCAAAUACCUGGUUUUAGGGUAAUCACCUCCUUCAGGGCCUUACCUUAGGAUGCGGUUGAACAAUCGAGCACUGAGGGUGAGGAGUUGGAGGGGGACCCCAUUCAGCCCAUCACAGGCCACACGGACACGCCUCAGCCCAGCACUCAGACCAGAACCACAGGGAGCAAGUGGCCUCUGUGGGGGGGCGGGGGGAGAGGGUCCCUUCAGUCCGCAUGGCCCCGUGGGACCAGCUGCUGGAGGCGCCUUCCACUGGGAAUGGGGGGAAGCUCAGGCUGUAGACUCGGGGCCCAGCCCUGCCGUUUCCUGGCCGACGACCUUGAGGGGUCACCUGUCCUCUAAGCCGCACGUCCACGUCCGCACCAGAUGGAGACGGUGACGGUCGCACAGCGGAGGGUGAGGAGGUCGGAGGGCAGUUCACGUGAGCCGCUCCUCCAGCCGAUAUGCCCGACGGCAACGUCCUUCCUUCUUUUCCUGAUUCACUUUAGCUUCUCGUCAGCUGAGCUGUAGGGGAGCGGCUGGCACUGCCCUGGGCCUGGGGUUGUGUUAAGGCCCAAGACUUAAUAAACGUCAGCGGCUGGAUUGAAAGAUUCUCGGUGAAACCGGCUGCGAGACGCGGAUGUGCCUGUGGGUUUGUACGGGAUCAGCCCCGUCAGCUGCCGGAGGGACUGUUUGCCAAAGUCCCAGGGGUCUCCCCCGCCGGCCCCGUCCGCAGGCCCCCGUCCGGCCCUGCGCCUGCGUUUCUCAAGGAAACAAGGAGCCAGGCCACCGGGGCACGAGGGGCCAGGCUUCCCCGGCGCUGAUGACCCUUCGGAUGAGCUGUUCUCUCUUCUCUCCACAGACACUCCCUGAAGGCAGGGCCGGGCCCUUAUUCUUGUGUGACUGACGGCGCCACUGGAGGGCGCACAGCGCACCGGGCUCCAAAGGCCGGCAGGUCCUUGUCCUCCGGAGAGGAGACGCGUGACGGAGCGGGUCCCGGGGACGGGGACCCAGCAGCCGGGCAGGGAGCGUCCGAGGCCGGAGACCAGCUCCUUGGGGACAGCGUGGGUUCUGGCUUCUCCACACGCCGAGUCCAGAUCACGGCACUGAGCUGGCUGCCAGGGCUCCUCUGAGGCGGAGGACGGAGAGCAGGUGUCACCCCAGGACCAGGUGCGCUGCCUCCUGUGGAGCCUCCGGAGGGUCCGAGGCUGGACAACGACCUCCAAGCCCAGGAAUGAGGCGCAAAGGCCCCGGGGACCGAGCUGGGGGUCUGGGCACUGCACUCCCGGACGCGCUGAGCGACGCGGAGGCAAACCUUCCAAAGGGCUGAACGCUGGAAACUGCCUGGAAAGGCGGUGGGAGAGCCAGAGUGUGGUGGAGGCGGCGGGGCUGGGCCCGCACACACCGAGCUCCGACCAGGAGCUCACGUCCGGACCUCACGCCGCCCUGCAGGGAACGCCCGACCAGCCCUUUCACCGGGGGAAACUGAGGCACAGGGAGGUUAGGAAGCACACCCACGUUUUCAGGGGCUUAAGGAAGGACCCGGAACUGGAGGCCAUGUCUGGCUGGUUCCUCAGACUCAGACAAACAUCCGUCUGCCAACGACCGGCGGGGAGAGGGCCGACACCUUCAUGCAGCGCCGGGCGCAGAUGCGAAGUCACAGCAGCAUCCCCGUCCAAUGAGGGGGAAACGAACCAACGAACAAAUGAACGAACGAAUGAACAAAUGAAUGAACGAACGAAUGAAUGAAUGAAUGAGAAACAAAACUGCUUUGCGAUGUGGGGACCCAGCCUCGGCAGUUCCCCCGACCUCAGGCUGAAACCUCCCUCCGCAGUUUAAUCUGAAAGCUGCCCGGCUAAGCUUGCCCGGCUGAUAAGGCCCUGGGACUCCCGCGCCCCCUUGAUCUGCAACCUGACUCCGAACAGGAAGCCAGAGCUGGGGGGGGCCCAGGAAGGCAUGGCGGGAUUAGCCAUUUAAUUCCGUGUCUCCCAAACCUAGAGCUUAAGAGCCACGCCCCGUGCGAGGCCCGAGGGCAACGCAGGACACAGGCAGGUGCCCUGUGAGGCCUGCAGGCUCCUGGGAGCCUGGUGACAGCUGUCAUGCAAACAGUGUGUGAUCCGGACAGGGAGGGACUGGAGCCCGGCCUCAUGGCCACCCCCUGAGAGAGCCCGAGACCAGGCUCCAUGCAGACCCCGAGAGACAGGCCAGCCGCACGGCCACCCCCGGGGCCUUUCCGCAGGACCCAGCGGUCAGAAGGCUCCGCCCGGCCCUGUGUGUGGAGGACGCAUCCCUUCCUGCCACAACCAGCCGGCGGGAAGAGUCUCAGCUCUCCUGUUCCACAAGCCCCCGCCCGCGGCUCCCCUCGGCCUCGCGGUGCCUGCUCCCAGCCUGGCCUCAGCUUUGCCUCCAGGAGCCGCGGCCCAGCCUGCCUUUCCCAGGCCCUGCCUGCCUCCCCUCACGGCUGGCGAUGCCCGCGCUGACACCCUCACACCCACCUGCUGUGGCUCCAACUUUUCAAGGACUUUUGGGAGCUGGCUGUGGAAACCGUAUUCGAGACGAUGUUCCAUAUGCAGUUAAUAGUCUAGUCCAAGGUGACGCAGACUCGAACGCCCUCCUUAGCGGGUUCCCGUGUCGUCGGAGCUCACACACGUCACAGCCGCCGGUGGGAACACACGCAGCGUCUCCUUCUCGCCGGGUGUUCGUGACCCACCUUGGGGGCCUGCGAUGGCCGUGAUCAAAAUCCAUAAACACACACGUAAAAAAAGACCCAAGUGGAAGGCCUGUGAGAAGUGCCGGGCACACGGAGCUUGGCGGGUCCCCUCUGGCUCCUGUCACACGAGAUGACACAUUAACCACCAGAGGGGAGCGGCCACACACGCGUGUUCGGCAGGUGCGACUAUCAUCACCGUAUUUUCUGUCCCACGUUAGAGCUCCAUGAGCCUCCUGCUCCCAGAACAGCCAUUCGCCCUGGGAAUUCCACGUCCCCCCGUCCGCCCAGGACACGGCGGCAACUCCGGGCCCCUGGACGCGCUCGGGGCCCUGCCUGCCCUCCUCGGGCGGGGACACGGGCUCCACACAGUUGGAAACAGCCAUCGACACUGCGGUGGAUAAGCUACUCCUGGUCUUCAAGCACUUCCUUUGGUUCAGCCACAGAACCCUCGAUUCUAGUAACACCCCCAAGACACAGAACAGAUUUUCCAUCAGCAGCUGCAGGUGGGGGGCAGCUAGAACCUGCCCCUCACGCCAAGCGGGGCGUCCUGCUGUCAGCAGGGCCUUCUGCGGAGCCGUGGCUGCUGGGGACUGAGCGCGACUCCACCUCCACCUGGGACUGUUUAGGGCUCGGGGAGGCCUCCGGGGGAGGCUCCCGUCUUGUUCCAAAUGGGCCUCGUUUGAGGAGGGGCCAUCGUUUCCCGGGGAGGCAGCGUUGGGGUUCCCUGAGGAGCCCUGAAAUGUCGCUGACAUCACCGUCCUGGGUCCCACAGGGCAGCUCAGCCAGCAUUUCCCAAGGUCCCCGUUGGAGGGACUCCUCCGGGCAAGACCUGGCGGUGGGCACAGCCCCCGGGGCCAGCCUGGCUCUCCUCUGGCCACACAAGCUCCCUGCGCUCGUGCCAGGCACAGACCCUGCUGCACAGAUGCCUGCGUGUCCUGCUCCGUGUCUCGUUCCACAGCCGUUGUCUUCCCUCAGCGAGUGUCUGCGAGCGCAGUGGGCACGUGUGGGCAGACGGCCCGCGGGCCGCCCGGCGGGAGCCCGGGGUCCCCGCAGCCCUCUGAGCCCCAGGACCCGCGGGGCAGCACCGCAUUCAAAGAACCAGAGCCUUUAGGCCAAAAAGGUAAUAAAAGGGAUUUUAGGGGGAAUUCUGGCAGCUGGGGACGUCCCUGUUCAGAGCUGGCAGCCACCAUGUCUCCCGCUGGCUAGUCUCUCACCAGCCCCCGGGCCCCAACCAGGUCUCGGGCGCCCCUCUUUCCACUGCUUCCUGCCCUGACUGGACGGGGUGACAGGUCAGCUGGGUGGGGAGGAGGUGGGGGUGGGAAAUCUGAACCCCCUUCGUCUGCGUCACCUGGUCUGAGCUGGGCUGUGUUCUGAACGACAUUCCGUUAUUGUCUGAUUUUGUGCAAAGUGCAGACAGGUCAUCAGCCUGAUGGCGUGGCCAGGCGGAGCCCGCGGGCCCUUCUCAGUUCUGUUACUUUACACGGUUCCAGAGCCCACGUGGCAAAGCCAGUGUGAGUCGGCGCCGACCACAGAGGGACGUGGCCACUCUUCCUCUCGGGAUCGCGGAGACGCCGUGUGCACCUACCUCUGUUCCCGCACGACUGACCUACCGAAACCAAGGAAAUCGGGGAAACUGACUGGAGGAGGAAACACGGCCUGAGUUUAUUAAAGACGGACCCGCCUGGUGAGGGAAGUUCCCAGAAAACAACUCAAUGGAAAAGGAAACCCUGCGAGCCAGUCCCCAGACCGCACGUCCCCGCGUGACAAUCGGCCCUCGUUCACUUUAAACCGAGACGGGGCCGCACUGGGGACCCAAGGGGGCUGGCAAGUGAGGCCCUGCCUUCAGGGGGCACCCGCUCUGGCUGGGUCACGGUCAGAGCCGAGCCGAUGCUGACCGGACGGCGCCCUGGUGGUCCAGGAAGGGGCUGGUCAGGAAGCCUGCAUCACCAAGGCCCAGAGCAAGGGGGCCAGGUCUUCCCGUGGGCGCUGAGGGUCAGGAAGCCGCACGGAGCAGAGAGGACGGGUCCAAGGAGCAGCGCGCACAGCUUGGGGGCGUGUGAGAGUGCGUGUUGGGGCAGCGGAUGGUGAGACUCCCGGGAACCUGGGCCAAGGUGAGGAUGCACCAGGUGCCCCUGGCGGAUGGAGCAGAGGGACCUGCAAGAAAGGUUAAACCAACAAGGCAAACUGGCCUUGAUCCAUGUAGCAGAGACCCAGUUAGUGGACUGGGCUCAGCCACAGCAGCCGCAUGCAGUACGUCCUGGAUCUGCUGGCGUCCAUAGCCCAAAGCCCCUCUUCCCGGUCAUUCACUAUCACCAUCACUAUCACCAUCUCCAUCAUCGACAUCAUCAUCACCAUCACCACCACCAUCAUCAGCGCCAUCAUCAUCACCAUCACCAUC